GUGCCAGCAGCCGCGGUAAUACGUAGGGGGCCAGCGUUGCUCGGAAUUACUGGGCGUAAAGGGUUCGUAGGCGGUGUGGCAAGUCGGAAGUGAAAUCUCUGGGCUCAACCCAGAGGCUGCUCCCGAAACUGCCAUGCUAGAGUGUGGGAGAGGCGAGUGGAAUUACAGGUGUAGCGGUGAAAUGCGUAGAUAUCUGUAGGAACACCCGUGGCGAAGGCGGCUCGCUGGACCACAACUGACGCUGAGGAACGAAAGCUAGGGGAGCAAACAGGAUUAGAUACCCUUGUAGUCC
rnacentral:rRNA from 1 species